rnacentral:rRNA from 1 species
AUGUACAGGGGCUGUCCUAGUCCACCGCCUCGGGAGCAACUGCAGUUGAUGCAUAUGUCGCGACGUUGUUUUUGCGAAAACUCCCUCCAUCUAUUUCCGACCGAACCCGCGGUCCUCGCCCUCACUCUCUUCUCCGGCUGGCCGCCGCGGUCCGCUCGGUGCUCUCCGCUGGCUCGCCGCCGCGCUGCUGCCGCGCUCUCCUCCCUCCCCCUCCCCUCCCCACCUUCUAUCGUGUCGCCGUGCUCUCCUCCUCCAUCUUCGGUGGCCUCGCCGCGCUCCUCUCCUCCUUCCCGCGACGACGGAGGGAGACCGCAUCCUCUCUCCCUCCCAGAUCCUCCUGGUGCCGGUGGAUUUCUGCAGGUGAAGCAGCUCGAGGAUGCGGUGCAGGAGCUCGUGGCCUCGUACGAGGACUGCGCGUACCUCGCCGAGGCGGUGAAGAAUGUGCCCGGGGCGUACCAGCCGUCUGACCAGGUCGAGAAGGUCAAGGGGACUGAUUUCAGAAAGCUGAUCGUCGGGACACAAGGACCAGCUCAUACGGCAGUUCAAAGAGGCUGUUUGGGAGGUUCACCAUGCAGUAUAUGCCCAUUGACUAUGAAGCCUAUAGUUGAGUUGGAAAAUCCUGUUCGCUGCCCUGGACAAUUGACAGUUAUACUCCUGCCAAUUGACAUGGGGAAUGUUUUUUCAGAGCAAGGAGCAGCAGCAAUUUCAGAUUCUUUGAGAAAAUUUCAGAGCAAGGAGCAGCAGCAGCAACCUGUAACUUCUUCAGAGAAGAACUCGAAGGCAGGGAAGCAGCAGCAGCUCGAGCUCCACCGGCUGCAGGGAGAAGCAGAAGCACGAGCUCGACCGGCUGCAGAAGCAGAAGCAGAAGCAUGA